rnacentral:rRNA from 1 species
CACGUAGGGGGCGAGCGUUGUCCGGAUUUAUUGGGCGUAAAGAGCUCGUAGGCGGUUCGCUAAGUCGGGUGUGAAACCUCCAGGCUCAACCUGGAGACGCCACCUGAUACUGGUGUGACUAGAGUCCGGUAGGGGAGUGUGGAACUCCUGGUGUAGCGGUGAAAUGCGCAGAUAUCAGGAAGAACACCAGCGGCGAAGGCGGCACUCUGGGCCGGUAUUGACGCUGAGGUGCGAAAGCGUGGGGAGCAAACAGG